CGAGCUUCGUCCAUGCGGUCGACUUUUACCGCGCUGCCUCGCAUUGCGUGUUGUAUAUUGUGGUUACUGACGUAAGAGCAAGCUCUUCACUCGGUAUUAUACGCCGUACCGGGCAAAUAGUCACCAGAUGCCGGCCGUGCGACUCCAAUAUCCGCGACUCCUUUGUUCAGCGUGAACGACGGACGCGAUACAGUUUUGAAGAACACCUUCAAAUGAUUCCGCACGUCAGUGAGUAGCAGCGCCGCAAUCCUUUCUCGCCGACGUGCUCUGUGGCCCUGCAAAAUGCCUUGACGCUCUGGGAUGGCUGGACGCGGGUAGCUUGGCGAUUCCUCGCUUGGCGCAUCGCUUGAAAACCGCCGGUCAGCCUGCAGUGUACGCCGCCGGCGUGCUUUCUUGCCAGAGGUAGCAAACAGCAGUGCCACGACAAACAGAGGAGUGCUGACCAUGCAGUCCAGAUGGUGGCCGAGGCAAACAUGCCAAAAGGGGUGCUUAUUCAGGCAGAAGCAAUAAGCAUCUGUAGCCAACGUAAAGGCAGCAUCUUCA
rnacentral:lncRNA from 1 species